rnacentral:rRNA from 1 species
UAGGGAAUCUUCGGCAAUGGACGAAAGUCUGACCGAGCAACGCCGCGUGAGUGAAGAAGGUUUUCGGAUCGUAAAACUCUGUUGUUAGAGAAGAAAAAGGACGUUAGUAACUGAACGUCCCCUGACGGUAUCUAACCAGAAAGCCACGGCUAACUACGUGCCAGCAGCCGCGGUAAUACGUAGGUGGCAAGCGUUGUCCGGAUUUAUUGGGCGUAAAGCGAGCGCAGGCGGUUUCUUAAGUUUGAUGUGAAAGCCCCCGGCUCAACCGGGGAGGGUCAUUGGAAACUGGGAGACUUGAGUGCAGAAGAGGAGAGUGGAAUUCCAUGUGUAGCGGUGAAAUGCGUAGAUAUAUGGAGGAACACCAGUGGCGAAGGCGGCUAUCUGGUCUGUAACUGACGCUGAGGCUCGAAAGCGUGGGGAGCAAACAGG